rnacentral:rRNA from 6 species
ACGAACGCUGGCGGCAGGCUUAACACAUGCAAGUCGAGCGCCUCGCAAGAGGAGCGGCAGACGGGUGAGUAACACGUGGGAAUCUACCCAUCCUUACGGAACAACUCCGGGAAACUGGAGCUAAUACCGUAUACGCCCUUCGGGGGAAAGAUUUAUCGAGGAUGGAUGAGCCCGCGUUGGAUUAGCUAGUUGGUGGGGUAAAGGCCUACCAAGGCGACGAUCCAUAGCUG